CAAUAUGCAGUCUGCACUGGUUUAAUAUGUGACAAGGAGACAAGCAAUCCAUUGAAAAUGGCAGUGGAUAAGAUGCAGAUAAGCAAGAAAGAGAAAUUAAGGAUGAAAAGACAGAGCAGUUUGUGAAAAUUCAGAUUUUGCAAUUCAGAAUAAUACCAUAAAGACUCAUCACUUUAAUCAGUUAUUGAUUACACCGUGGGGACAUUCUACAGAUUCCACUCAAUGCUACUUUUAAAAUGAAUCCCAUAUGUGAUUUCACCAAAACAUCUGUAGUAUAACUGCCUAUAAGAAUAUUAUUGAGUCAAAAGUAUGAAACUACCUAAAUCUGCUGAGACAUAGAA